UAGCCUGGGAACCUCCAUAUGCCACGGGUGUGGCCCUAAAAAGACAAAAAAAAGGAAAAGAAAUGGAUGAUGGAGACAUGAUGAUGAAUAGAUGAUAAGUAGAUAGAUAGAGACAGAUGAUAUGCAGAUAAUGAAUAGAAUGACAGACAAUAGAUGCUCGCUCGCUGGGUGGGCAGACAUGGCAGCAGAUGGAUAGCAGGCUCUGCUUCUGUAUCUCUCCGUCUCCUCUCCUUUCUCUUCCUCGGGAGAGACCAGACAGCACCUGGCCCAGAGAACACGAGCCCCAGCAGAACCCGAGCCCCGCUCCCAUGUGGCUCAGGGCAGAGUUCAUUCCCAGGCGUGGUCCCCACACUAGGACUGAACUCUUUCAGUAACUGCUGGCCCAGCGCCCAACCUCGGGGGCCACGUCUAGACAGGUCUGGUUUCCGGCAUCUGAGCCAAGCACGUGCUCGGGUGUUCUGGCGGCCCCCACCCUGGCCUGCGCAACGCUCUAAAUACCUGUGGUCUAUGAACCGGGAGUCAAGAUAAGUAGGAUGUUAUGGAAACGUCUAAGCUUCCGAUGCUGCAUGGGGUUUUCAGGCUGUGCCGUCGGGUCUCAGGUGGCGAAGAGUAUUGGGAGGGGUCAGCGCCUCUGGGCAACUCCUGUCCAUUCUUGUUAAGUUCUGUUUCACACCCCCGCUGAGAUGGGUUUGCAUCCCCUCAGGUCAUGCUGCCCCACAGGCGUCAUUUGUAGGGACCUGGGAAGCUGCCCGUAGUCGUCACCAGGCAGGGGUCUUGGCAGAUCCCGGCAGCCUCUGGGGGCCUGGCUCUGUCUGCAGUGUCAGGAGGCUGGGAAGUUGCUCCAAGCCAUUGUGGGAACCUCGGUGCCUCCAUCAAGCAGCAUGGCCAUCUGUGUUCCUCCGUGACCAUGGCGUGGCUUCGUUUUUUUCGCCCAGCAAUUCGCGGGAUGGACACACCCCUCAGGAAUCUGGUCCCUCCCUCUUCCCCGUGGGUAAUUCAGAAACGAGGAGUUCCCAUCAUGGUCCAGUGGUUACAAACCCGACCAGUAUCCAUGAGGACAUCAGUUCGAUCCCUGGCACCUCUCAGAGGAAGAAGGAUCUGGCGUUGCUAUGGCUGUCGUGUACACCUGCAGCUGCAGCUCCGAUUCGACCCCAAGCCCGGGAACGUCUGUAUGCCGCAGGUGCAGCCCCUAAAAAGCAAACUAAAUUAACAAAUGAAAAAGGAUCCUUGUCGUUGACUUAGCAUUCAGGAAAAAGAAGGUUAUCUGUGUGCCUGUUUAGAGCAAUACCUCCAAGCCUUUCAGGAUACGCCAGAGGGACGUUUCUUUCCCCAGAGUCAGCCCCUCUCCCUGGCUCCCAUCCACCAGCCAUCGCGUCUCUUCUUCUAUUUCCAAACACUCAUAUAUGCCAGGUGGGCCAAGUGGGUGGACACGCCUGGGUACCCCUCUCUGUACAUUCCUCAGGCUCUGACUUCACUCCGCAGCCCUUUCCUAAGGAAAGGCUGGCCUCUCCAAAAAUCACACAGGCGCGAGGACUCAUCCCCGUUACCGUUUGGAAAACGGUCUGUGGGUGUUGGGACGUGCUCUGCCGGUGCUCAGCUCGCAAAAAUCCCACCGUCUGUUCCAGGAUCCUGUCCUGGACUCGCCCCGCUGGUGGAGGUGCCUUCUCUGAGUCUCCCGGGUACGGGGCCAGCGGCCGCCCCCAGUGAAAUGAACUGAUGUCUGUGGACUCGGGCCAGGCCAGUGAGGCACGAGGAAGGCUGCAACUAUUUGCAGAGAACGUGCCCUGUGCAGCUCCCUAAAUAGCCGGGGUUGGGAAGAGCCGGAAGCUGGGGUCCGUGAUGGCCAGCAUGAGGCGUCAAGGAGGUUGCUGUCCCCAGGCGUCCCUGGUGGUCCCAGAAUUCUUCACAAAGACAGUGAUGCCUGGGGCCAGGUUCGCUGGUGGCAGGACCCCGCGGGGAGGGGUCCACGUGGGAGACAUCUCCUUGCGACUCACGCCCCCAGGUGUGUCUGGUCGCAGCUGGAUCAUGACACGCCAACGUGGAAGUCCUUGACGGUGAGAACCUGGAGCCAUCGUCGCCGGGUGAGACGGAAGGGACACCGCCAUGCUUUGCGCGCAGCAGUUUCAAGGCGCAGAAGGCAAACGGGAUGCCCACGUGAAACUAUGCUGCAGCAGUGCCCGCAAAUGUGCCCGGGCUCGCACAGGAUUCCGACGUGGCAAGUCCCAGGUGCGGCUGGAGCCCGUCCAUUUGUGCCUGGCGCCCAGGUGAUCCUGCUGGUGGUGGGAGCGCCUCUAGAGAUGUGUUCUAGUGGCCUGGCGUCAUAGCCACUAGCCAUCCAUGGCUAACUAAAUGGCGUAAAAUAAAGGCAAAUCUAAAACCUUACUUCUUUGGUCCUAUGAGCUACAUUUCAAGUGCCAGGCAGCUGCCAUAUGGAUAGUACAGCAGAGAACAUUCUUCUGUCAUUGCAGAAAGUUCUACCAAACUCUGCUAGGGUAGGGCGUUCCUGCUAUGGCUCAGGGGGUUAGGAAACUGACUAGUACCCAUGAGGAUGUGGGUUCAAUCCCUGGCCUCACUCAGUGGGUCAGGGAUCUAGCAUUGUCAUAAGCUAGACAUGUGUUGGUCGCAGACACUUCUCAGAGUCAGCAUUGCUGUGGCUGUGAAGUAGACCAGCAGCUGCAGCUCCGAUUCCACCCCUAGCCUGGGAACUUCCAUUUGCUGCAGGUGCAGCCCCUAAAAAAGCAAAACAAACAAACAAAAAAAAAACUGUGUUCGUCUAGAGGCUGGCUGUCACGCAGGAACGUCUAGUUACCACGGGGUUAAUAGGUUUUAAUGUUUGGAGUGUUUUUUAUCAUAAGAUGCUAAGGGGCGUGGUACCUCCAUAAGAUUCUGAACACUGGUGUAAUGCCUUUUAUAAUCAGGGCACACAUACACCCUCCCUCAGAAUGCAAGGCUCCCUCGAUGAUCGAAAAGCCAGGCUUUCAUUUCCCUAUGAAAGCCUGAAACAUCCCCCCAGUUGCCAUAUUUCCGGAUAGGUUCGUGUGUGCGCACUCGCAGGCUCUAAUGCAGGAGAGCUGUACACAUCGACAGCUGCCGGGAUACCCCGUCUGCCUCCUCUCAUGUUUUCUUAGCCUUAUUUUCCAUUCUCUAGAGGAGCCAGAGACACGCAGAAUGAGGUUUCUCCUGAGCAGGAAGCGUGCCCGUGAGCAACCAGCUGAGAAGUCGACCCAUCACAUGUGAAAAUGAGAAAGUCCCGUCGAGGCCAGACCCCGCUGUCCUUGGAAAGGUGUUGAGUUGAUUUCUUCCAAGGGGUGAGGGAGCAAUUCAGGUUCCCUGCCCAGCGGGUGCUCUGCCUCCCUAGUUCCGGAGGCUGGACUUUCAAGACCUGCUGAGAGCCAUCUUCCUGGUUCAUCAAUGGACGUUCUCUCCAUCAGGACAGAGACAAGACAGUUCCUUCUUACCCGUGAGAGAUACAUGUAUUGUCCAUGACUCCGCAGGAAAUUGAUUUCCCCAACCCGAUGCAGAGAUGGGGAAGGGGGGAGCCAAAAGAAGGGUUUGCUGUCCAUCUUUGGCGCCAGAGGAGAAGUCAGCCCCCAGAAGCUAAGCACUGAGAAGUCCAGUCUUCCACAUCCAGGGGUUUCCAGAUUCCCACUCGUGUAAGAAAUGCAGCGUGAUGUCCCAGUUUUCGUGCUUUUCUUGAGAUGUGGUCCCCUUGGAGGAGCUUCCCCCGCCAGGAUGGAAUUUCAGAGCUUUCGGCUCGAGAAGAAGGGAAAUGCCCCGAACAGCCACCCCCCAGGCCCCUUGUGGCCGCUGAGAAGUUGGGGAGGAUGCAGCCAUAAAGGAGGAUGUGAAAAGUAGGCGCGAUCGCAAGGCACGAAUCUCGGAAUCUUCGUGUUUCAUCGGGAAGGCAGAGGAGGAAGGAAUCUGCGAGGUGCAGCCGCCUCUUCUGACCUCAGGAUGGACGGAGAGGGCGUGAAGGACCCGUCAGUGACCAGCUGUUGCACAGAGAGCCCAGGGGAAGGGGGUGCCCUGGCGGGCACAUGGGAACCGAUGCUGCGGCUCACGAGAAGUUGGAGGAACAAACUGCUUUGUCCCAGGAGAAGAGGAGCAGGAUGGAACAGAUGCCCGCUGUAAUCGUGGGCGGAACCGGAGGGACGGACGCAACGCUUGGCGCUUCCAAUUCUGACAGUGGCUGACCUCACGGGAGAUGGAUGGGGGAGGGUCCAGAUGUUUCGAUGAGGAAACGGAGGCCACUAAGUGUUGUGUAACGUCCCAAGGGGACCCAGCUCUGAAGCGGUGGAGUCAGAAUGGGUUGCUUAACAGCCACCCCCACCCUCGGCUCGGAAGACGUCCACACCCAGGUAUGAAAAUGCCCUGUGGGAGUGUCUGUUGCUGCUCAGCGGGUUAAGAACACAACAUAGCGUCCGUCCAAGGGAUGCGGGUUUGAUCCCUGGCCUCGCUCGGCGAGUUAAGGAUCUGGUGUUGCCACAGGCUGUGGUGUAGGUCACAGGUGCAGUUCAGAGCCUGUGUUGCGGUGGCUGUGGUGUAG
rnacentral:lncRNA from 1 species